rnacentral:tRNA from 1 species
AUCUUUCUAGUAUUAAUUCAGUAUAAGUGCCUUCCAAGCACCUGGCCUUGGUUAGAAUCCAAGGAAAGAUA